CACCCAGCUGAGCAGGGGAUACAGGCAGGAAAGAGGGGCCAGGCUGCAGGAGAGAGAGGAAUGAGAAAAUACAGACAGGGAGCGAGAAAGAGAAAGAAAAAAAUAGUGGAGAGAGGGAGGAAUUAAAAAAUGGGGGCAGGGAGCCAGACAGAGUGCGGUGGGGAGAGACCAAAAAUAGCAAUUCUGGGCAACUGCCCCCAUUUCUUGAGCACUCCCCAGGAGCUGCAUUACCGGGAGCCUCAAGGAAUGUGCUGCCUGCCAAAGCCCUGCCCUGGGCCCAGUCCUGUGCCCUAGUAUUGGUGAAGAGCAUUGCCUUGCACAGUGGCAAGGACUGAGGGAAGAAGAGGACAGCUGGGGGGGGAAAAAUCACCGAACUGGUUUUUGGUUUUUGUUUUGUUUUUUUUUUUCUUGACGGUUUUGCUUUUAAAAAGAAUAGUAUUUAAGCUCUAAAUACAAACUGCAAGGAAAAGGAACCAGGGGUACCAGUCUGGACACAUUUAAAGCCUGAACCCAUUCAACAGCUGCACCAACCACCACUCCUGCUGCACACACUCCACCGCCUGCCUGCAGGCUGGGUUAAAGACUCAUCCAUCAAGUGGUGGCUCAGGACCAUGCCGGGGCAAAUGGCACUGCUUUUCUGAAUCCCAUGGCAGCGAUGGGCAAAGGAACAGGGAGACCCAGUGGAGACGUAGCGUGCGCUGGAGAGCGUCCUUCAGGGAGGUGACAGCCGAUUGCACAGCAACGCUGAGACCCACCUGACAGCAAAGGCGCCUGGUGGCCACGGACGACCCUAGUGAUAAAAAACCCCCAGAGACAAACACAAAACGCUACCCCUGGAACUUCCUCUGAAAUUAGAGGUGGAGAGAUCCAUGUGGACAUGCUCAGUCACAGAGGCAAAAGGACAAACAGGAAGCAUGGUAUGCACCAAGCACACCCAGAGCUGCGCCCGUGCCAGGAGAAGACUUCAAGCACAGGCAGGGCUGAUGGCGACAGUUCCCACCAGCUGUCCAGCUCCAGAAGAUGCAGGUAAGAUGCCACAGAGGGGAGAGCAACCGGUUGUCACUUCUUCUCCAGGAAGAGGAUUUAACAGCAGAAGGGAGGCAGGAACAAAAGGGCUUUGGAAGUCCAAAAGUGCAUCAGGCAGCUGGAGCAGUUGUGUGACAGCAGAGGAAGAAGAGAAGGAGAUGCAAGUGACCUGGCUGGGGCAAUGCUUCCGAGGUAACAUCUGCCACACAAACACAGAGAAAGAUGGAGGCAUUGGGAGGUCAUGGAAUGGGUGAGAAAGGUGCCUGGGCAAGAGGAGAGCACGGGGAGAUGGGAGGCAGCGAUGGAGAUAGAGGGGGAAAAUCCAGGGUGUUGGAAGUGAGGACGCUUCUGCUGUGCAGAGGCUUUCUGUAAAAGCUCUGAGUUCAUGUACUGGCUUUGGUUUUCCCAGGCUGUGCUUUGUUGAGCCUCAAAUGGGGCUUCUGUUCUCGUCCAGAUUUUUGCUCUGAAACUAUUCAAGUGCUGAGGACUGGGAUUUUCCAACAGCAUCAUAUUUCUCUUUGGGCUUUGUCCCGAUCCAAUGUCGGGGAAGGUUUCGAUAUGAUCCCAAGAGCGAGAUUAAGACACAAACAAGGUCAAAUGCCGUAUAGUCAAAAGAGCUUUUAUUAUCAAAAGUAUCAAAAGUGGAAAAUGGUGGCGAUAGGAUAGAAUGGAAGAAAAGGUAGAAAUUAAACAAGCAGUCAGGAUAGGAUUGCUAGGAUAGUCACUACCACGGAUCCAGUGGCAUCCCAUUGGUCCUCAGGCAAGUAGUCGGUGGUGGGAGUUGCAAGGAGGGUCACCACCACAGAUCCAGCGGCGUCCCGUUGGUCCUCAAUCUUCAACUCUUUGGUGGUGAAAAAAGGCUGCCACAGCUUGUCUCUACGGGUUUUUAUAGGGCAUAUUUCAAUGAUGUCAUGCGCUGCAGGUUUCGUCUAUCACAGGACCUUCGCGUGAUGGACACCAGAUCAGCUCCAGCCCCGUUCCUCCCCUGGAUGCCUCAAUGGCCUGGUAAUCAUCCUUAUGGACAGAGGAAUGUCCUGCUUAAACAGGCCAUCUUAGAGACAAAGGGCUCGAGAU